UACGUAGGGGGCAAGCGCUAUCCGGAUUUACUGGGUGUAAAGGGGGCGCAGACGGCAGCGCAAGCCAGGAGUGAAAGCCCGGGGCCCAACCCCGGGACUGCUCUUGGAACUGCGCGGCUGGAGUGCAGGAGGGGCAGGCGGAAUUCCUGGUGUAGCGGUGAAAUGCGUAGAUAUCAGGAGGAACACCGGUGGCGAAGGCGGCCUGCUGGACUGCGACUGACGUUGAGGCCCGAAAGCGUGGGGAGCAAACAGG
rnacentral:rRNA from 1 species